rnacentral:lncRNA from 1 species
GGAUGGAAGGCUAAAGGCCCACACGAACAUAGGCUUGAAACCAUACAGAAAGCCCCUGGGACUUGCCUUUUCCUAAAGCUAGUGUCAGCUGUAGAAGAUGGCUCAGAUCAGUGGACCCCUUUGCCAAACCUCUGUCUCCAAAACAUUGCACUUCAUAACAGUAGCAAAAUACAGUUAUAAAGUAACAGCAACGAUAAUUUUAUUGUUGGAGGUCACCACCACAUGGGGAACUGUAUUAAAGCGUCACAGCAUCAGGAAGGCUGAGAAGCACUGGCUCAGAUGUUUAAGGUUGGUGGUGGUGCACACCUUUAAUUUCAGCGCUUGGGAGGCAGAGGCAGGUGGAUCUUUAUGAAUUUGAGGCUAGCCUAGUCUACAGAGUGAGUUCCAAGAUAGCCAGGGUACACAGAGGGGAAAAAGGAAGAAAGAAAUGAAAGGAAAAAUAGAAGUGUCACCUUUUGUGUUGGGGAAAGUUCUUUUAGGACUGCUGGGUAUGAGUUAAGUACUUAAGUCGAGCAGAGCUCCUUAGGCAGAGCAGGUGGCCUGAGAGCCAAGAAGGGUUGAAACUGGUCUUUGCUGUUCACACCAGGCAAAUACUGGAACCUUCUAGGAUUUAUUUUCUAAAAAGGAGAGUGGUACUUGCCCAUCACAUUGUGGGUGCUAACGCUUCUUACAUGGAUGAAUGCCUUGUACUGAUUAAAGCCCUAUAAGGUCAUUUUUAUUUUGUAAGCUAACACAAAGGAAUCAAAACUUUUUCUUGACCAUUGUUUGUGCACUGUCCUUUGUGGAAGGUCCUUUUAUUCUCAUUUUAUAUAAUAUGAAACACAAUGAAGUUAAUAAACUCUAGUACUGCUCAGUAGACAAAUACAGGGAUCCAGAAUGAGACUGUGAGCCUGCCUUAAGAGCCCAUGCUCUUAGCCACCUGCAGAUAUAUCUGGACAAAAGAUGGGAAGAAAACUGACACUUGCUGAGUCACCCUGGUUGGCACAUCAAGUGAGGGAGAACAUGCCCUUAUCUCCUAAAGAUACAAUGUAAAGAUUUGGAGUACUCUGAUGUAGUCUCACAGCUCUACAUAACAGCUGCACUCCGGGCUGGGGAGAUGACUCAGGGCAGGAGCACUUGUUGCUGUUGUGGAAGACCCAGUAGGUUACCAGCAACCAGACAGUGGCUCAUAACCAUGUGUAACUCUAGUUCCUCUUCUAUACUGUGCAGUAUAUACAUAUGUGUAUGCAGAAUAUACAUGUGGUGCACAGACAUACAUAUAGGCAGAACACAUACAUAUAAAUAAAUCUUUUCAAGAAACAACUGAACUCAUACUUGUUUAGCAUAUUUCUGUUUCCUAUUGCACUCUCUUGCUUCUUCUCCAGAUGGAAUCACAUUUUAAUAUAACCUUGCUAGUAUUCUAAAAACACAAGUUUACUCUGCUAGCAUUUUAAAGAUGUAAAUUAUAGUUAUUGACAUCAUAUAAGUAUUUUAUAAUUGUUUGUAAAUAUGGUAAUAUUUGCAGCUCAAUCGGAGAGGGCGGCAGGAGAGGAUCAUGCACAGCUCCUUUGGAAACCAUUUCUAUCAGGAGUCUUUUUUUUUUUUGAGGCAGGGUCUCACUAUGGAGACUAAGCUGGCCUAGGGCUCAGUCUGUAGAGUAACUAGGCUGUCUUUGAACUCACAGAGAUGCACUUGCCUCUGCCCCUCUAAUGCUGGAAUUAGAGGUGUGUGCCACCAGGCUCAGCUAGGAGUUUUAAGUCUCAGAAUCUCUGAAAUAUGUUGGGAGACUUAGAGGAGAAAAAACUGUGUGUGUCCGCCAUCUAAUGGCACGUCACAUUUUCUUUUCCAUUGUCUCCUCUUCCCCUUCAGAAAGGUUAUCUGCAUUUUAGCUCCAGCUACAAGAACUUAAGACUCUGAUUUAAUACAGCUGUUGGAUGUGUUGCUAAAGCUAGUGCUAACAUGCUGGGCAGACUCCUGCUUCUCUUGCUAUCAGAACUGUAGAAGGGGUAAUUAGCAACUGAUAAAAAGUACUGGGAACACCAAGUAAAUACAUGGUGUAUUUGUGUUUGAUGGGCUCUUGGAGAUUAUUUUCUUGGUUUAUUAUACUAAGCAUGAUUUUCUUCAUCUCAAAAUGAAUAUGAAUUUUUUAAAAAAGUAAUCUAUAUAUGAUUUCAACCUAAUACUAAUUUCUGUUAAAUAUUUCAGAGAGUAGCAGAUCGACUCUAUGGUGUAUAUAAAGUACAUGGGAAUUAUGGGAGAGUUUUUAGGUAAGUAUCAUAUGAGUAUAAACAUUUAGCUCCAAUUAGCUUUUUGGCUUAAAAAAAGUAUUUUAAAGCUUUUAUAGUGUAUGAGUUGUUAGAAUAUAUAUCUAACUUUGUGUGGUCGGGUGCACAUGUUGGGAGGUGUGCACAUGUUGAGAGGUGUGCACGUGUGUAGAAGCCAGAGGUUCCCACUGGAUAUCUUCUGAUCACUCUCUACCUCAUCAUUGAGGGAGGUUCUCUUACGUAAUCUAGAGCACACCGGUUUGGAUUAGUCUAGCUAGCCAGCUUUCACUGGGAAUCCUCUUUUCCUCCCUCCCAAGUGCUGGGGUCACAGACAGGCUGUCAUAGUGAAUGUGUGCUAGCUGUCCACACUCUGGUCCUUGGGCUUACAUUUCCCUAGACUCCUGAUGCUUUGAGAACCCUGUAGCUAUGGCUGGCCUGGAACCUCUUAUAUUGUAGCUCAGGCUUAUCUCAGGCUUAAAACAAUUCCCCUAUCUCUGACUCGAAGUGUUGAGAUUUACAGCCAUGUUUUAUUGUGCCUGACAGAACAGUAUUCAAUGAUGUCCUGAAGCAACAGCUUUCACUUUUCAAAUAAAUAUUUUUAUUUUAAAGGCAUCUGUAAACAAAAAAGUGGGGAGGAAAUUCUGUAUACUGGGUGAGAUUCCUGACUGGAGGGGCACAAGGCCUUUUACUUUCUCUGUUGAUUGUCUGGGGAGAGUCACUAGAAACUGCUACCUAAUAGAAUUGGAUACUUUCUCUUUCUUUUACUUUAUUAUUUUAUAAUAUAUGAAGACUUUGGCAAGAGGAGUGUUUCAGUGGUUAGCGUAAAGGCUGGAGGUGUAGCUCAGGGGUAGGACAGUUGUCUAGUUGUCUGAGGCCCUGGGCUCCGUCCUCAGUACCAAACUCAGGAGUAUAUGGAUAUAUAUGUGUAUGACUUUCCUAUCUUGGUUACUUAAAUCAUCUUUAAUACUUUUUAAUUUAUUUUAUAUUGGGGUGUUUUGCUGUGUAUGUACAUGUGUACCGCCUGUGUGCCUCGUGCCUAUGGAGACUAGAAGUUCCUCUGGAACUAGGGUUUGUGGCCUUCAUGUGGGUGCUGGGACUCAUCCCUAGGUCAUUAGAGACAUGAUCUUACUGUGUAGCCCUGGCUGGCCUGGAACUCACUAUGUACCCCAGGCUGGCCUUCAAUUUUUCCUGUAGUCAGAGAUGACUUUGAACUUCAGCCUUUCUAGUGCUAGGACUACAGGAUGUGCUCCCACAUUAGUUAGGAUGGUACUGAGAAUCACACUUGGGGUUUGGAGCAAGAUAGGCAGGUAUUCUACCAACUGAGAUACUCCCUAGCUCUGCGUGCUUAUGUUCUUACCUUUAAUUAUUAAAAUUUAAGGAAAACCAAUGGACUUGCAUCACAGACAGUAAAUCCAAAUAUGAGUCCUAGCUAGAAAAGGAUCUUGUGACCCAUUCCAUUGAAUAAUAUUCCAUAGAGCUAGUUCAUGGUAUUUUUGUUCUUUCUUUCUUUUCUUCUAGUGAAUGGAGUGCCAUCGAAAAAGAAAUGGGGGAUGGGCUGCAGAGUGCUGGGCAUCACAUGGACGUGUGAGUACCUGGGGCUAAGAGCUGGGCCUGCUCGGGGUGGGGACUGCUUGCCCUCUGAUCUCUGUCAAGUUUUAUAGAAACAUUUUGCAUAUAUAGAUAGAACUUGUUCUUCUCAGGAAUGCAAGGUUAGUUAAUACAUGUGUUUCAAGACUGGUCUAAUUCAUGUAGUGACAGAAGAAAGAUAAAAAUCUGUAUUUGCAUUUCAGUGUCUACAGAAACGUUAUUUGACACACUUUAACACUGUCAAUAAUAAACAUUUUCAAGAUGGUCCUUCACCUCCCAGUCUCUGCUGCCAUGUCACAUGGUAGGGCUGGCACUGCCAGCCAGAGCAGGGAAAACUGGCUGAGUCCUUCCUAACGAACUUGAGUUCUCUGGCUGGACAAACCUGGAAACCUGAAAGCUGUUAGACUGGAGAGGGCCGCCAGGGUUUUAACCCCGAGACACCAGAACCGUAGCUGGCGCCGUGGGGUGAUUCAGCGGUGGAGGGAUGAUGUCCAGUGCCUGCAAAGUCCAGCCCAGGGCAGGUGGUGCUCAGGGCAGGUCUGCUGAUUGGUCUCCUGGGGGAGCAGGACCUCAGGAGCAGAGCACACUCUGGGUGGGGAAGAUGCUUCAGGAACAGUGCGGUUUGUUGUUAUUGUUGUUUAAGAGUGACAUUUCUCAUGCAGAAUGUAAAAGAAUAUUAUAGUCUGAAGUUGGCAUUUCAGACUCAUGCUGUGAGGUCAAGGACAUGGCAAGUGGGACACACUUGUCAUGCAGGCACUGGGAAGGUAGAGGCAGGAGAACCAGAAGAUCCCUCACUGCACAGGGAGUCUGAGGACACUUAGAUGAGACCUCAAACAUUUUUUCUUUGAAUGUAAAUUUAUAUAUAAGGCAUGUGUGAAGGUUCCUAUCAAAACAAAAAUGAAAAAAAAAUUGAAAAACAAAAAACCGCAUUAAAGCCAAUGAGGGGGUUCAGUGGGUAAAGGUCCUUGCUUCCAAGUCUGAUGACCUGAGUCCCACCUCGUGAAAGGAAAGGACCAGUGCCUGAAAGGUGUUCUCUGUCUUCCACCAUGGACCACGGUGCACGCGCACACACACCUCAUAUC